rnacentral:rRNA from 1 species
AGAAUAUUCCGCAAUGGGGGAAACCCUGACGGAGCGACGCCGCGUGGAUGAUGAAGGCCGGAAGGUUGUAAAAUCCUUUUGUACGCGAGGAAUAAGUAAAGUGAGAGAAACGCUUUAUGGUGACGGUAGCGUACGAAUAAGCAACGGCUAAUUACGUGCCAGCAGCCGCGGUAACACGUAAGUUGCGAGCGUUGUUCGGAAUUAUUGGGCGUAAAGGGCAUGUAGGCGGUCGUGCAAGUCUGGUGUGAAAUUCAGGGGCCCAACCCCUGAACUGCGUUGGAAACUGCAUGACUGGAGUCACUGAGGGGCAGGCAGAAUUCCUGGUGUAGGGGUGAAAUCUGUAGAUAUCAGGAAGAAUACCGAUGGCGAAGGCAGCCUGCCAGCAGAUGACUGACGCUGAGGUGCGAAGGUGCGGGGAGCGAACA